UGACCCGUAGCUCAGUUGGCAGAGCAGCGCCCUGUUAAGGCGCAGUGCGUAGGUUCGAGUCCUACCGGGUCAG
rnacentral:tRNA from 1 species